GUGGCCUGGCGUUGAAGACGCCAGGCUGAUAAUCUGCAGGUCACAGGUUCGAACCU
rnacentral:tRNA from 11 species